UGGCCACUAAUCUACUAAGAACAUUAGGAAUGAUACUUUUGCAUUCUGAAAAUUUCGAGGAACAAUGCUAAUUCCCAUGUUUCGUCUACUCUCAUAUGGUUCCAAACCAUUGAAAAUAUUUAUAUGUAUAUAUUUCUUUCAUUCAUUUGGAUUCAGGUUUUUGGUGAGGCUUACCAAGUAUUGAGGGAUCCAGCCCAACGAGAAGCAUAUGACACUUUUGGUAAAUCAGGAAUCUCGACGUUAGUUUUUUGUUCUUAAUUUAUCAAUCGAUGUAUUUCAAGAGUGAUGUGAAGCAAUUAUCGAUCAUGCAGCUAUCUUUACGAUGCUUUUUGGCAGUGAGCUUUUUGAGGAAUACAUAGGUCAGCUUGUGAUGGCAUCAAUGGCUUCACUAGACAUAUUUACAGAAGGGGAAUAGUUUGACACUAAAAAGCUGCAAGAAAAAAUGAGGGGUCUUGUCUUAUUUCUGUUGUGAGAACAUGAAGUUGGAUGUUUAAUCAUGAUGGAAAUAAAAAGGCUUUAGUAAAAAGAAGGGAAAGGGAAAUAUAAGACUGCUGUUUGGGAACUUUA